GUAGGGAAUAUUGCGCAAUGGGGGAAACCCUGACGCAGCGACGCCGCGUGAGUGAUGAAGGCCUUCGGGUCGUAGAGCUCUGUUGCAGGGGAAUAAAAAAAUGAAUGUACCCUGUGAGGAGGGAUCGGCUAACUUCGUGCCAGCAGCCGCGGUAAGACGAGGGAUCCUAGCGUUGCUCGGAAUCAUUGGGCGUAAAGAGGGCGUAGGUGGCUUGGUAAGUCAGGUGUGAAAGCCCAGGGCUCAACCCUGGAAGUGCAUUUGAUACUGCUGAGCUUGAGUGUCGGAGAAGUUACAGGAAUACCUGGUGUAGUGGUGAAAUACGUAGAUAUCAGGUGGAACACCGGAGGCGAAGGCGGGUAACUGGACGAACACUGACACUGAGGCCCGAAAGCGUGGGGAUCAAACAGGAUUAGAAACCCGAGUAGUCC
rnacentral:rRNA from 1 species